rnacentral:lncRNA from 1 species
AGCCUUCUCCCCCAGUUUUUCUGCCACUUCCUCUACCAUCGCGACCUCAGCUUCUACAGCCACCAACCACCUCGUCGCAGCUUCUCCACCGACAACUCCACCAUAAGCCACCAGCAUGACCACUAGCCGGCCACCUCCACCAAAUAAUUAGUGGCCUAGAACCUUCCCCUUGAAGAAAGAGUGGGAGAACAAGGUCACGAUCCCCAAAUAAUUAUUUUCAUAUCUUUUUAUGUCUUUUUUCUUAAAUUUUCCUUUCCCAAAUAAUUAGUGGUAAGAUUGUAAAUUAUAAUAGAAUAAAAGGUAUGUAUUUUCUAGUUAAAUACUCUUAAGAACUUCAAAUAUAUAGGAUGAAAAAUAAACAUUAAUUAUUAUUUUCUACUUUUUGAUGAAUUAUGUAUUUUGUUUUUUACAAUGAUUUGGUUUUGCGAUUGUUUUCUUUUUCUAUAAAACAAACUUUUUUUUAAAAAUAAAUUAUAGUAAUGUAUUUUAUAAUCUUGCAAUAAACAAUAUAUAUAUAUAUAUAUAUAUAUAUGAGAAACUAUUUUCUUAAAGAAACUUUUUCCUUAAAGUUAAGUGGCGACUUCUUUUAAUUCUAUCAUGAGAAGUUAUUUCUUAGUAGUCCUUUUACCUAAAAACUUCACAUACUUAUAAGUUUGUUUAUACUUUUGAAGAUGAAAGGGGUGUUUGGCCUCGUAGUUGAAUCAAAUUUUUGAAACAUUUUGAUAUUUUUUGCUUUAAAUUAAUUUUUUUAUAUAAUUUUAAUGUGCUGAUAUCAAAAUAAAUUUUAAAAAAUAAAAAAAAUUAUUUUGAUGCAUUUUCAAAUGAAAUAUCAAAUGAUUAGAUGUAUACUUAAUGAGGUGAGAGUAAAUAAAAUACGCCAAUGGUUAUUUUUAUUUUUUGUUUUACAAGAUUUGCAAGUCGGCAGAGUUAAUAAAUUUCUAAAAAGCUAAAAACUCACCAAGAUAGAGAUUUAUUGGUGACUUGGCUCAUUUUUCUUCCUUGAAGUAAUGUCCAAGUAAAUAAAAUAAGCACCAAUGAAGAGUGGAGUAGCCUUCAAGCUUUCUAAAUUUGUUCAUCAAGGUAGUUACUUCGUUGCUCACCAAGUGUUUUUGCCAUUAUAAAUAAGUGGGAAGACGAGUAGUUUUAGGGUGUAAAAAAUAUAAAAAUCGAGAGUUCUUUUUAGUAUAAAAGUGGAUGUAUAAGGGAUUUUGGGAAUAAAUAUUAGACAUAAAGAUCAUAAUUAUAUUCUUGUACUAAUUUAUCUGAGAGAAAAGAAGGAUUACAUUUGGGUUGUAGAUAUAGAUAUAGUUUUGCCGAAUUACGUUAAAAUCUUGUGUGUCAACUCUUUAUUCAUAUUCGUUAAUUUUCUUUCCAUUAAAUUGGAUUGUUCAUGGUAGUGUGUAUUGAAUCUUAGUUUCAUAUUCCCUAACAAUCAUCUUUGUUAUUUCAUGAUUGAUAAAGAGACAAGAAUUUUGCAUUCUUAGGUUUCAGGAUAGUGUGAGGAGAAAGUUCCUACUGAGAGAUAUGAUUGAUUGAGAUCUCUUUAUGAAGUUAAGAGGUAAAGUUGACUAGUGAUAAUUUUACACAAGCAUUGGCC